GUAACGCGUGGAAACCUACCAUUCUGUACGGAAUAACGAUUGGAAACGAUCGCUAAUACCGUAUACGCCCUGUGGGGGAAAGGUCCGCCGCAGAAUGAGGGGUCCGCGUCCGAUUAGCUUGUUGGUGGGGUAAAAGCCUACCAAGGCGAUGAUCGGUAGCUGGUCUGAGAGGAUGAUCAGCCACACUGGGACUGAGACACGGCCCAGACUCCUACGGGAGGCAGCAGUGGGGAAUAUUGGACAAUGGGGGCAACCCUGAUCCAGCAAUGCCGCGUGUGUGAAGAAGGCCUUAGGGUUGUAAAGCACUUUCAAUGGUGAAGAAUGAUGACGGUAGCCCGUAGAAGAAGCCCCGGCUAACUUCGUUGCCAGCAGCCGCGGUAAUACGAAGGGGGGCGAGCGGUUGUUCGGAAUACUGGGCGUAAAGGGCGCGGCAGCGGCCAAUCAGUCAGGUGUGAAGCCCCGGGCUUAACCUGGGAACUGCACUUGAUACUGAUU
rnacentral:rRNA from 1 species